rnacentral:misc_RNA from 1 species
GUAUUGCGUGAUGGAUCCCUGCUCGGGCAGCGACAUCAUYGCAUCCACGCCUCUUCAUUUGUUGGCGCGGGCAUGUGCCCGCCCGGUGUUGGUUUUCCUGUGCUGGAUACCCGUGUAACGUGGCAUCGAACGCCGGUUAAAUUGUCCCUCAGCCACCGACCGUCAUUGCUGGCCUCGAAAGCGGGCAAUCGGCGCGGGGUGGCCCUUAUAGCGCACGCCGUGUGUCCCAUCCCGUUGACCCCGUAAGAAGGGCGUGCGGGCUGACGAUCCACKGCUUGAUGCUCGGUCCCYUGGGUAUGGAACGUCGCGUGGGGUACGGGGCCGUCGGCCUCGGAGCACCACAAACAAGCGUUGCGAACGACCGUCGGCCCGGUCUCUGGCUGGCCCUCGUGGCUCGGCUCAGGGCCGUGCCGGCGUCGAUGAGGAAUGCUACCU